rnacentral:rRNA from 2 species
GGACUACAGGGGUAUCUAAUCCUGUUUGAUCCCCACGCUUUCGUGCCUCAGUGUCAGUAGUAGUUUUGUAAGCUGCCUUCGCAAUGGGUGUUCUGUGUCAUAUCUAAGCAUUUCACCGCUACACGACACAUUCCACUUACAUCAAAUACACUCAAGAAUGACAGUAUCAAUGGCAGUUCUAUAGUUAAGCUAUAGGUUUUCACCACUGACUUGACAUUCCACCUACGCACCCUUUAAACCCAGUAAAUCCGGAUAACGCUCGGAUCCUCCGUAUUACCGCGGCGGCUGGCAC